rnacentral:rRNA from 1 species
CGAACACUGGCGGCGUGCUUAACACAUGCAAGUGGAGCGACGAACCACGCUUCGGCCUGGGGCAAACCCGCGAACGGGUGAGUAACACGUGGGUAACCUGCCCCGAUGACUGGGACAACCCGGGGAAACCCGGGCUAAUACCGGAUGUGUUCACUGUGCAUCAGCGCAGUGAGGAAAGGAAGCUUCGGCCUCCGCAUCGGGAUGGGCCCGCGGCCCAUUAGCUUGUUGGUGAGGUAACGGCUCACCAAGGCGACGAUGGGUAGCUGGUCUGAGAGGACGAUCAGCCACACUGGGACUGAGACACGGCCCAGACUCCUACGGGAGGCAGCAGUGGGGAAUCUUGCGCAAUGCGCGAAAGCGUGACGCAGCAACGCCGCGUGGGGGAAGAAGGCCUUCGGGUUGUAAACCCCUUUCAUGAGGGACGAAGGUUCGGCGGUGAACAGCCGGCCGGACUGACGGUACCUCCACAAGAAGCUCCGGCUAACUACGUGCCAGCAGCCGCGGUAAUACGUAUGGAGCUAGCGUUGUCCGGAAUCAUUGGGCGUAAAGCGCGCGUAAGCUGCCCUGUAAAUCCGCUGUGAAUAGUCAAAGGCUCAACCCUUUGAAAGCCCGGUGGAUACUGCAUGGAUAUAGUCCUGAAGAGGCGAGUGCAAUUCCUGGUGUAGCGAUGGAAUGCGCAGAUAUCAGGAUGCACACCAGCAGCUGAUGCUCCUCGCUGGACUAUACUGACGCUGAGGCACGAAAGCGUGCGGAGCGACUAGGAUUAGAUACCUGAAAGUCCACGGCGUGAACGAUAGGCAC